UUUUUUUAUUUUUGUUUACUAUUUUAAACGAAUGCACCUGAGAGCCAAAACGCCGCGUCCCCUUUUUCUACUCUGCCGCUGUUGUCUGCUCAUGUAGACCUGUACCAAACCUAUAAUAGGUGAACAUGUGCACUCUGUUUCUGCUCCUCGCUCUAUAUGUAGUCAAGAAGUGGAAAACCUCCCUUUUGUUAGCAUAAGCAACCUAAAAGCACUGGUUCUCAUCGUCUUAGGUGCCUGCUGAUGGUGCGCUGAAGCCCUGGUGGAUCUUUAGUUAAUUGUCAAUCAGCUUGAUAUAUCAAGGUGUUGUAGGUCAUUUAUAGCAUAUAUGUUGCUUCUAUUUUCUGUUUAGUAGAUGUAGAACAUUGUGGUUUCUGUUAAAUGAAAUCGAAGGGAGAGCCUUUUUAUAUAUAAAAGGGGUCUCUUUGUAAUAAAUAUAGAGAAACCGAUGGCAUGAUUAAAACUAGUUUUACUUUCUUUCAAAAGAAAGGUCUAACCUCAGAGAUUGAAUCUACGGGUGUACACUACUAUAAUAUAAUUAACAAGGCCAAAGUAAUCAACAAAUAGAGACAUUAGGUAGACAACAAUGACAAGAUGUAAAUUGCACUAUCCCGCAACAAUGCUUGCAAUAAGGGAGAACACACCCGCACUAGCAUCAUCACAUCCAACAUGAGACUGUCAGGACAAAGGAUUUUCGUCCUGGAUGUUGGGUUUAACCAAUCAAGUCCACAAAAUUAGCAUAGAGACAACACAUUCAACAAGAUAAGGAUGAAAGUUCAUCUUUGCUGGGAGCAUGGGACCGACCAACAAAACUGAGAUCAUUUUUUUUUUGAAAGAUCAGAUCACUUAUUUUCAUCCUAGAUAUGACACGAUGUUACUAUCACCAUCUUGAUGAUGGAUCUUUUGAGAGUUAUAUCAUCAAAUAAUCUACAUAAACCACCAUGGUGUCCACCUGAGAUAGUCACAAAGUAGGCCUAUCAAAACUCCUCAUGCUGAUGCCCCACCACAUGCGCAAAUCAUAGACGGGCACCAUUAAUAGUCCUCCGUUUCACAGGACGGGUCUCCACUUCUCGCUGAACGGGAGGUGGCAACACUAUGAACCACACGGGGAUCCAAAUAAAGUUGUGGGCACGCAAUUGACACACUUGCAAAGCGCCUAUGGCACACCGCCACACUCCUACCAUGUGGCCACGCAUGACCGAGACAACCACUAAACCAGCAACCUCUAAAUAGUAGUGGCGUGUCGCCAUCAUCGGAGGCAAUGUUAGGGAGCGGCGCGGUCAGAAGAUUGGAUGAGUCAUCUCCCGCCUAAGACGACCGUCGCAACCACGUGGCUAUCGAACCUCCAAUCUAGCAUGACCCAUACUCGUCGAGUCAGAUUCACGAACCCAUUGUGAAGUUGUGCCCGCCGCCACACCCUCCCGGAGGAAGCCACUGAGGCACCAACAAAACCACGAUGGCUUGUAGCGCCUGCCUAGCCACAAUUGAAAAACCACCCGAUAGGCAUGAAUAAGGGCCCCACCGCCGUCGACCGGGCAGGCUUCCUGGUAGUGCACCGGCAGCGGCGGUGAGGGGAGGAGGCUCGCACUCAAUACACGACCCGAGCUGCCCUGGAGCGACACGGGUGCCGAUCCCAUUUUUCUCUUUUGAAAAAACAUGUGAAAAGAAGGUAGACAAAAUCCAAUGCCUGUGGAUGUAUCAACGCUGAAAUUUAAGAGUUUGAUCAAACAGACCCCAACGCGGUACGAAAGGCACAUUUUUUUUUCGAAACGGAGGCAAAAGAUUUGCCCCAUAUAUUAAAUAAGGAGAAGAUAGAGUUGUUACAAGAGCCAAACACACGGCAUGACAAUUAUUCUCGCAAUAUAAUGUCCCCUAGCUUUCUAGCACCAGCAGUGACCCAUAGCUUUGCCUCGUUGAGGACCAUUUGAAGAAGGAUGGUCGGUGGAGCACUCUUGUGGCGGAAGACUCUGGCAUUCCUCUUGUUCCAAACGGACCAGGAGACGAGCAUAGUGAGAGAGGCCAUUGCUCGUCUAUUGGGAUUCUGCAAGUCGGUUCGCUUCUCCCACCACUCCUUCACCGAGCCAGCAAGAUGCCAAGUGGUGGUGUCCAUGUGCACAAGUCCCAACUUGUCAAUGAGCAUCCUCCAAAGCCUAAGAGUGUAGCGACACUUGAAGAAAAGAUGGACGCCAGACUCUUGCUCCCUUUUGCAAAGUUGACAAAGGCCGCAGUUGGGCCAGCCGCGCCUGGCCAACCUGUCUGCAGUCCAAAUCCGGUCUUGUAGAGCCAGCCACGAGAAGAAUUUAACUUUGGGUGGAGCCCAAGCUUUCCACACCAUGAAAUCCAUAGGGGAGAGAAUCAACCCAAGGAAUUGAGCCUUGUAGGCAGAGGAUGCCGAGUAAAUCCCGUCGCUGGAGUGCUUCCAGGUGAUAUCAUCCUCGGCAUGCUCGUCAAGGUGGACCUCAUUCAUGAGCAUCCAAAGAGAGAAGAACUCGUGAACGUGGGCAGCGGUGACGGGCGUGUCAAUCUUGACCUUCAGUAUCCAUGCAUUCCCUUUAAGGGCCUCACGCACCUUCCAAUUCUUUCUCCUGGAGGCACCGAAGAUUAGCGGGGCAAUGUCCUUGGGUUUGCGCCCAAGCAGCCAGGGAGAGUCCCAAAAAGGCGUUUUGGCACCAUUUCCAACAGUAAUCGUGGUUGACGCAUAGAAAAAAUUCAGGUCCUCCUCUGAGCAUGGGUUACCAAGCCCCACCCAAAGCUUGUUGGUCUCCUUCCAUUCAAACCAUGGCCAUCUUAGUCUCAAGGCACGGGCGAACUUGUCAGUGUUUAGCACCCCAAGGCCACCAUACUCACGAGGACGACAUACCACCUCCCAGUUGACCUUGCAUUUGGCACCCGUCGUCUUAUCUGAGCCAGACCACAGAAACGCUCGCUCAAUCUUGUUGAGGUUUCGUAAAGUGCUCGGCGGCACAACGAGAGGCGUGAUGGAGUACACCACUUGGGAGGAGACAACCGACUUGACCAGAGUCGUACGACCGAUGGUGGUAAUAUUUUGGCCCUCCCAAGUGACCAACUUUCCAGCUGCUUUGUCUUCAAGAUAUUGGAAAUCCACUUUCCUAAGCUGCCAGACCGAGAGUGGGAGGCCCAAAUAUUUCACAGGGAAAGAAGCUCUUGCAGCCGGCAUGCCAUGAAGGAUAUGGUCCAAGUCAAGGUGGUUGCAGCGAAUGGGCACAACAGAACUUUUGUGGAAGUUGGUGUGGAGGCCCGUGACCUCGCCAAAACUCCUUAAGAUAGCAGAGAAGUUCUCGAUGUCCCUCUUGAUCGGAGCCAGGAAAACAGCUGCAUCAUCCGCAUACAAAGAAGUUCGCACCAUGGUACCACGACCACGAAGCUUGCGGAGAAGGCCUCGGUGCGUUGCAAGAUCAAGGAUUCGACGAAGCGGGUCAAUCGCGAGGACAAAUAGGAGCGGCGAGAUUGGGUCCCCUUGCCGAAGCCCUUGGCCAUGCCUGAUGGGAGGGCCUGGAAUCCCGUUGAGAAGGAUGCGCGAGGAAGCCGAGGAGAGCAACGCGGCAAUCCAGGCCCUGAAUUUGCUUGGGAAGCCCAAGCGCUGCAAGAGGUCCAGAAUGUAUUCCCAUUUGACGGAGUCAAAAGCCUUUCUAAUGUCAAGCUUGAAGAGGAGGGCAGGGGUCUUGCACUUGUGGAGCGGACGAGCCAUGUUCCGCACGUACAUAAAGUUGUCGUGGAUACUCCUCUUUUUGAUGAAGGCACUCUGAGCAUUGGAGACGAGGCCAUCCAUGCGAGGAGCAAGCCGCAAGGAGAGGACCUUGGCGAUGAUUUUGGCGAUAGCAUGGAUGAGACUAAUAGGCAUGUAGUCAGCUAUCUCCUCUGCACCAUCCUUCUUUGGCAAAAGCACAACAUUGGCAGAGUUCACCCACUGUAGGUUGGCAGUGUGAAGAGAGUCGAAGUUUUGGAUGACCCUCAUGAUGUCAGGUUUAAUGAACCCCCAACAUUUCUUGAAGAAUAAUCCGGUGAAGCCGUCUGGCCCAGGAGAUUUAUCCGCCGGCAUCUCCUUGAUGGCCGCCCACACCUCCUCCUCGGUGAUGGGAGCAUCAAGGUCCUGCAAGUCAUGCUGCUCGAGGUGAAGGUCAUCCCAGCAGAAAUCCUUGCUGCUCAAACCCCCCUCCCCAUGACAACGGAGAAGUGGUCAUGGACGAUUUUCUCCUUUGCCACAUGCUCAGUUACCCAUCCAAGGUCAUGCUUGAUCCUGCAGAUAUAGUUCUUUCUUCUUCUAGCAUUGAUGCGGCGGUGGAAGAAUUUUGUGUUAGCGUCACCAUCCUUGAGGUUUGCAAUUCUAGCGCAUUGGCUCUUUCGAGCCCUCUCGAGGACCGCCAAGGAGAUUACCCUCCUCUUCAGCCGUGAACGCAAAUCAAGCUCCUCAUUAGAUAGGGGCCUCUCCUCCUGGGCAAUGUCAAGACGAAGGAUGAUGAGCAAGGCCGCAUGAAGCUGGAUUUUGGCCUUGGAGAACAGCUUCUUGCUCCAUUCGGUGAGACGAAGCGCGGUUUUCUUGAGCUUGUGAUGCAGGACCAGAAAAGGCUCAGAGUGGGCCACAUGCUCGUCCCACGCCUUACGCGCGAUCUCAGCAAAACCCGGCAGGGAAGCCCAGAAGUUCUCAAAUCUGAAAGUCCGCGGUCUUUUGGGACCCUUGUCAUCGGCGAGAAGGAGAGGACAGUUGUCCGAAAGGGACGAAGACAAGGCAUGUAGCACGUGGGAAUUAAAGGUUGUAUCCCAAUCAGCAUUGCAGAAAAAGGAAUCAAGUUUGCACAAAGUUGGGUUGGCCCUCUCGUUGCUCCAAGUGAAACGACGGUUUUGAAGAUGGAUCUCCUUAAGCUCGCAGGAUUGCAGAGCACGAAAGGCACAUUGAUUUUCAAACUGGUGGGCGACACUGUAGGGUUCCUGUACCUCCGAGAGGCAUGAAUGGAGGUUCCCGGACUGUUGGCUGUAACUGCGGCAGUACUGGAGACGGUACUAAUUAGAGAUGCAGUCGUGUACUGUUACUAGUUGGGAACAGCGGAUUCUUCAUGUACGCGAGACAAUGCAGCACCGGCGUAAUGUAUGUACGAUGUGUGCACUUCAACGUGUACACGGCCCCGGCAAAAUGAGAAAAAAGUCAUCCUUUUCUGAAGAAUGCAUAAUGAAGUUGUGUGAUAUAUUUUCCUUUUGAACAUUUUUUCUCAUAACAUGUCUUAUUCAUACUAUAAAGAUCAUAAAUACAAGUCACCUAAACAUCUAUCUGACAAAAUUAAAAAGAUAGCAGAACGCUAGACUUUACCCAAAGAAACAGCAGUCAAGAAAAAAAGUACAAUCAUGACCGAAAAAUCUCCUGAUCUUGCCUUCGGCAUCACCACAACGGCCACAUAAGACAAAAGAAUAUUAGAUCACCUCCUCACCUGAAGCUCCUAACGAUGAUAUUCAACUUUGCGGAUCUUCAAUAUGGCUCACCAAAAACGGAGUCAUUGUCAUUGAACAUAGACAACACUCUAAACACGUCAUCGAACUCAUACUCUCACGCCUAACGGAAUCUAGCUGCUCGCGGCCACCAGCGUAGAGUCGACGAGCUAAAUUAGUACAGUAAAACAAUUGUGCCGGCCGAUGGAUCCCCGGAACCGGAGGAUGGCCGCGGCUUUGACUGACACGGACGGACGCCGCCGCGCCGUCUCGUGAUCUCGUCCGCAUGCGCCCCGUGCACCCCUUCUCGGGGGCGAGGCGGGGCGCCGCAGGCUCGCCCGAUCCGUCCAAGCGGAACGACACGCGCGCGCGCGCCUGGGGCCUGGCGCCGUUCCGCAGUUUGACCGCUCCGCUCGCCGCAGCGGAAUCUCGUACGUACACUUCUACGUACUCCUACGUACCACUGCACGCCCCGCCUCGCCGCGGCUCUGUCGCGCACGCCGGCAGCCGCCGGGCGCGGCGGCCGAGAGAGCGCAGCAGCCAUCGAGCGGGCCGGCCGGCGGCGAGAAACAUCACGGAGGGGAACUGAUGGCGUGUCAGGGCGCGCGCGCUCGUGGCAGAGCCGGCAUCGAUUGCGGCAUGGGGUUUGUUCUCUAGCGUGUGGCUCUUGCGGGGAGGGCCUGCGCUCAACGGUCCCGCGCCUGCGAGCCCUGCAGAUGCAAGCGUACCACGUAUGCGUGAUGAAACCAUCCCAUGGCAUGAUGAUGAGGAUCUAGCUAGGCGCUACAGCGGCCGCCCGUGAUCCGUCCGUCGAGAGAGACAAGCCUGGCAGGCGGCUUCAAUGCCGAUGGACGGCAUGGCAGAGCGCGCGCAGAGGCGGGCCGGCGGGCCGAUGCGCGCAUUCACGCCGCUCCCUUCUCUUCCGCGACUGUGUUUCUUCGUUCGUCUGAAUUUUUAUACUACUAGCGCAUGGGUAUGAUGAUCGAUGAGCGUACGUGUGCCGUAUUGCCAUACGGCAUCACCUGUUUUUAGGGCAUUUUUCUUGCAGUUUUGCUAAGUCUCACUGAGACUUUCCCUCCAAAAAAAAAAAAAAGUCUCACUGAGACUUCGGUCGAUGCUAUAUUUCUUUCGACUUGCAUGAAGAUUCGUACAAUUUUUUCUUCAGUUUUUUAUACUAUAUCACUUGACAGAGACUUAGUUAAGUCUCAGUGGACUGAGACCUAAUCACAUCCAUUUUUCGCCUUGAGCCUUCUGGAACGGAACCAAGAUUCCCGGCCGGCCGUGUCACAAACACAAGAGUAAGCUUUCUUGUACAGUGUUGCCAGCACCUUGAUGAUGGCCAAUUAUGUUAGGUUUGACACGGCGGGGAAAGAUCCAUCUUUUCUCGUUGGAUUAGAUCCGGAGCUGGUCGACCGACCGAUCCGCGCUGACAAGACUUGGAUGCAUUGUACUGUACGACGUCAAUGCUCUCUCAAGCAAUUAAUUGCAGCACUACGUACUUACUGUACUAUUACUCCUACUUGAGAGUAGCAAUAGUGUGCAUGUGGGUCGUGUGGCCUAUAAUCACACGAGGUACGUAGACUAGAUCGAUUCCCUUCCCGAAAGACCUACGUAUACGUCCUCCAUCCCGGAAUCAUUCCUUCCACCCCUCCUGCCGGACGCGGAUGCACAGCACAAAAGGAUACGAUAUGCCCCCAAGCCGACGGUAGCCGUGAGCAUACGGUUUGACCGGUGAGCAUGCCUCCUUUCCCUCCUAUCAAAUGUUGCAUACAGGAGUGCUACGGGCGUAGCAGGCGGGAACCCUGAGCCCGUGCAUGUGCAAGCAAUUGAACCGUACUCAAGUUUUGAUGCCAAAGGUACUACAGUAAAUAGUACGUAGUACGUAGUACGUACUCCUACUACGCGGGGUGGCCGGCCGGCCCAAGCAUCAUGCAAACAUGCAAUGAUCAGAGCACGCAUCGGCAGAGCGGGCAGCUGAUGAGUGAGGGGCAGGAGAGAUCUCACUCUCAUUCUCGCCUCACGAGGACGUGAUUGGCAAGCGGCAACGGCUUCAUUACGCCGAGGGAAAAGAGGCCGUGCGGUGCAAAGCUGACAUGGAGCUGAAAGCACGGCCUCGUCUCAGUGAAAGAAAGGAAAAGGAGACUAUAGAUCUUUGCUGAAUGCCGAUGGGUCUACUCUCUCCCUCCGCGAAUAAGUGUACUUCUAGCCUUUGUUCUAAGUCAAAGUUUUAAAAUUUUGACCAAAUAUAUACAAAAGAGUAGUAACAUAUAUGACAUAAAAUUGAUAUAUUAUGAAAUUACAAUUCAAAACGAAUCUAGUGAAACUAAUUUAGUGUCAUAAAUGCUGCUACUUUUUCCUAUAAAGUUGAUCAAAGUUUUAAAAUUUUAACUUAAGACAAAAGCUAGAAGUACAUUUAUUCAUGGACAGAGGGAGUACUCAUUUGUUCAGGGACUCUCGUCUUUCGCUCCUCCGGUCUUAGCCCGGAAGCAACCGGCAGAGGAAGUGCUUUAUUAACAUUGACAUGGAAUAAUGAAGGGCAUGAUUGCCGGGGAUGAAAGUUUGUGGCCUUGGACAGAGCGAUUUUUUUGUUUUUUGAGAAACAUGGACAAAGCGAAAUAUGAUGAUGGGCGAGCGGUUUGGGCCAGGAGGUGCCGAAACCGGACCGGCGGCACAAAAGAAGCUCCCGCACCGGGGAAGGCCGUCGGCCCAGUUGGCGUGACAUGGCCGAGGACGCAGGCCCAAUCACUCAAGAAAAAAAAAUAGUACAAGUUUGUGCAGCUUGCAUAAAUAAAUAUAGUAGUAUCACCAUUCAGUUUGGAGCUCAGAUGAUGAGAUGAACAAUCAUAGUACAUGAGUAGCAAAAAAAUGGCGAAUUUUAAUUCAAAAAAAAUGGCGAAUACUUCAUUCUGCUUUAGGGCUUGGCAAUAAUACAAGAAAGCGCUAUAACAAGUAGUGGUAGUUCUCCAAAUGAAAAACGCAAGCAGCAGAAAUACUGCCAUCGGGUUAUCCGAGCAGCGGGCUGGCACGAUCAGACCGGAGAUUUGCAGCCUCUCCCAGGCCCUCCCUGCAAAGACACACGCAGCAAGUUCAGAUUAGUCGGUGUGCGCGAAAUGACCGAGCCGUUCGUUUCUCGCUACGGAUAAACAUACAAGGGAGCUGCCUCAACUUUCAACACAUAAAUUCUAUAUUUGCAUGUGAGUUCUAGCCAAGGAUUUCCAUUUUGUUUCUGUGCAAUAGAUCAGGCUGUUCCAGGCAAGCUUUCCAUGUUGUUUCAGUUAGAAGUUACUACUACGCAAAUGUUGAUAAUUAUUCUUAGUCUGAAGAAUCUAACAGCGCAAAUUUAACUUGGGAACUUCAGAGCUACACAAUGCAUAUACGGUCUACAGAUGAUCUUCCUUUUCAGCACCGAUCAAGACACCAUACUUGCUACUACUCAUUACCUGAAAGCUUUUACAUGGUCCACUCAGGAUCCCGGGGGCUGAAGAAGGAAGCCGUGACCUUGGAGUUGAGCAGCUUCAGCGCGAGGCCGGACUCGAUGCACCUCGGGGUCUUGUACUGGUUGAUGGAGCUGCCCUGGCUGACCAGCAGAUCCAUCAGAGCAUCAAACGCGCCGGCCUCGACCACCCGUAUCUCCAGCGGGCCUACCGACUUGUCGUGCGCCCUGCAGCGCCUGUAGAUGUAGUCGAGCGACUCCUCGACGGAGACGCAGCAGCUCUCGAGGAGCUGAGGGUCGAGGGGCUGCACGCCUUCGCAGGUGGACUUGAUCUCCCAGAAGAGCACAUAGUGUCCAGGGACGGUGGAAGUGUCUGGGUAGCUGGUGUACUCCAGGAGGAUGUGGUUUCUGUCCUCCAGGAUCUUCUUGGCACGCGUGACGCUGUUGUGGAGAUCCUCCUCGUUGGUCUUGUCGGUGUCGAUGCUGAGGAUCACGUUUCUCCGGCAGAUGAAUUUGAACUGCGGCGCACGGUUGUAGAAGCCUGUGACCUGAAGCACAUCGCCAACCCUAUACCUGUAAAGACCUGGACCAAAACAUACAACUUCAGAGCUCUUGACAAAUAUGUACAUGUAGCCUGUUUCAUAUCCCUUGCUAGCAGCCUGCCGCUAACAUUUAUCGUUCCGGCAUCCAUCAUUUAACUGAAUUUUUCUACUCUCUGAUUCACAACGACAGAAGAGCUGCCAGUUUCCGAAAUUUGAUUCAUAACCAUUGUUCCAGUUGUAGCUAACAACGAUUUUUUAGACAAAAUUAAUGAACUUCAACAGGUAUUAUGUUCAGAAAAAUGAGGAUUUGACUGUACAGUGGUCAAAUAAUCAAACUAUACAUACCUAAAUUAUGUUCAAAUAUAUUCUGGAGCAAGAGUUGAUGUUGGUUCUCAACCUACUACCUUACAGGAGUUUAGAUAGUUCUGUUACGAUUAGAUAUUUACAGGAGGCCUACUUACCAGAAAAUGUGGUGACCACAAGCUCAUAGUAGCAUCCGACCUUGACAUCCACCAGGCUGACAAGCUUGUCAUUCCCCACCACCUCCUCAUCAUCCGUCACUCUGAGGCCAUCCUCCAAAGGAAUGAACUCAAAGUAGGCCAUGUUUGGGAGGAUGGUGUAAGACACGUCCGUUGGUUUGCACAGUGGCCUCAGAUUGACACCAAAAUAGCUCUCCGACGAGGCGUACAUGGUGCAUACCAAGGGAAUCCUACCACCACUAUAGAACUCCAGCAUGGGGAUGUAUUGUGCCAUUGUUCCUGUAAGAACAGCUUCGAUGUACUUGACAUUAGGCCAUAGCCUGCCUAGAAUCCCCUUCCAUGGCCCACAGCCGCAGAUUUCCUCAAGCUCAUCAGCGAGCUCCGGGUUGGGCAAUGCGAGAAAGCACUCCAUGGCCAACCGGCAUUUGGUGUUGGUGACAUUGGGAUUGAGUUUACCAUUACGUAUGUCAGUGACAAGGUCACACCAGUGCUGCUCAAGAAAGCUGAUAGACCGAAGGAACGCCGAGGCGAAGACUGCCCCAAGACGGAGGACAUGCUGGCGUUCAACCAGGCCGCAUAGCAGCUGGCAGUACAUGCUCUGCUGGCUGUCAGGGCAAAGAAUUACCUCAUCAGGACUGGUGUAGUUGUUGUACAAGUCAUGUUUGCGGUGCAGGAAGUGAGGGCUUUUGUAAUAGCUAGUGAGGACUGAUCGAACUGGAAUGCCAGAAUUCGUCAGCGUUUCUGCUUUCACAAAGAGAAGAUACAUGGCCUUCCCCUCACCAAGGCCUGAUACAUACCUGCAGAUUGAGCCAAGGAGUAAAUUGUUGCUCGCAAGGUAAAAUUUGACAGCAGAACACACAUGUGUAAUGGCUCUGCUUAUUACAGAUGAAUACAGCCAGGAACACGAGCAGUAAAACUAAUUCAAGAUAUGUAGAGGUGAGGCAGUUAUGUUCAAAAAAAUAAAUUACAAGGUUAUGUCCAGAAUUCAGGUAACAUACUAAGUCAAAUUAUCUUAGGAAGCAGUUGACCAGAAGAAUUUCAGAAAUGACAAAACUGCCCGCAAUUAACAGUUAAUAUGCUAUGAUCCGCAAACGUUGGAUAAGAAACAGAAGCUUACUUGUUCAUUAUCGGCAUUAGCAGACUAUAAAGGUAGGUUCGACGGUCAAGAUCCUCGGAGAUGGCUGGCAUCAAUCUUGGCUCACCCCGAGAAGUUCCGGAGCUAUAAAUUUAUAAUGAUUAAAAAUCAAAGGGAUGAUCGUCAUACAGAUAGUAUAACUUCAAAUGAUACAAUCUACUAUUGUAUCAGGUAUGGAGUUCAAAGAAGUGACAGGAAACAUGAUUUCAUAAACUCCAGCUAUCAGGGUAAAUGGCAAUGGCAUAGCCAAGGAAAUAACAAGUCGUUAGCAUCAAGUACAAUAGUCAUUCAGCCUGUCCUGAGAGAAUAAUUCAAACUAGGUCACUUCUAAUGAGAGAAGACUAACUAUGUGAGUCGUGAGGUCUCAUCCACAUAUAGAUAGCCACCAUAACAAAAUAUGGGAAGUUUCUUUGACCACAGAAGCAUAUUCAAAUGCAAAUAACUGGGCUUUCAGAUGCGAGAACCACAAAGCAAAAUCACCAGUGCUCAGCAUCUAACAGCAAGCCAUGCUUGAUGAAUCAGUUCAGUCUCACAGAUAUAGUCAUGUCAAAGAAUCGACAAUGUAUUUAAUAAUCUGAGGCAUAAUAUCUUGCAAUAAAUGUUAUAUAUAGGAUUUUGUAUAUUUUUAGAGACAGUUUCAAGAACACAUAACAUGGCUAAACACGUCAUCUUGGUUACUUUUUAAAAACAGAGCAGUGACAUGAACUUUGAGGGACUGUCAAAUUUUGUAACCAAGUGAGGAAUGGCACAAUCUUAUGUUCUCAUUCGUUUACAUAUCACUCCACAUGAGUGCCCAAGAAUUACAGAUUACAACAGCAUGCCUGUGACGUUUUAUCUUGCUGGCGUGCCAAGUUAGCUCAGUUUGGCAUUUCGAGCCUGGUACAUGCUAAAAAAGCAACCAAUUUACCAGACUAAGAAGCAGCAAUAAUAUUUAUUUUCUCCUAUUAGUCCCAUAAUAACAUAAGACGCUUAUGUCAAGCCCAAGAAGAAGCAGGGAAUGAUAAAUUUCCAACAAAAAUAUAUGCUGGUUCUUUCUAUCUAUAACAGAUAUAUGCAGAAAGCGCUUAUGAGAGCAACAGAACCAGAGGCUCACCUUCUCAGCAGUUCUACGAUUCGGUCUCCAGAUAUAAUGGAAGAAUCCUCGCCAGUUGAGAUCCUUGUGAUGUACGGCUGGACCACAUCAUAUGUCACUACUGGGACGUUUCUCUUGAAGGUGGAUGUGUUUGUGGAUCUAUUCAUGAAUUUGCUCAAGUACUCACUAGCUUGGUUCCUCUCAAGGAUUUUUGUCAGUAUAAGCUGUUGGGCUUCCUUGGCAUUCACUGUCAGCAUCUCGAGCUCUUGAAGAGCGUCGCUUUGCUUGCAGCCUAACUCAUUAUUGUCCAUGAUACAAGCAAAAGAAGGAUCAGAAAUGGACUUUAACUUGAAGAGGAGGGAAGGGCUCAAAGUAAUAUCUUCUGGAGCUUGUUUGCCCCUUAUAUAAUGCGAUGUGCAUGAUCAUGAGAAGCAUAUCUGCUUAAUAUUUCCACUUUACAAGAGAGAUUCUUACCCAAUUAGAAAGUGCAGCCCAUCUGCCCGUGUAAGAUGAUCCACUUACUAUCUUUCUGGACAUGACAGUAUGUUUCAAUAUUUCUGGAACCCGCACUAUUAUUUUUCUACUGAAAAAUGUAACGCAAAACAAUGAAAUGCUGAAAUUUUAUCAAGUUGUGUGCACUCCAAUAUCCAUUACCUCAUUUUGUCUUGUGACAUGAAACUCCACCUGUUUACCAAUUACCAUUAUGCACCUUUUAGGAAUUACAUCUCAUUUUUCCUUGACAAAACCAUGUAAAGAUAUGUCAGCCUUGAAAUACAUCUAGAAAGCGAUUAGAACAUGUGUGACACAUAGUGAUUCGAAAAAAAAAGUAGUAUGCUUAAUUAACCAGUGUACAUGAUCGCAUGGUUGCAAAUAUUAAAAAAUGUAGGCCAAAAAGGCUAGAAACAAGUUGAAGAUCCCAGAAAGCGAUUAGAACAUGUGUGACACAUAGAGAUUCGAAGAAAAAAACAGUAGUAUGCUUAAUUAACAGGUAUAAAUGAUAGCAUGGUUGCAAAUAUUAUAAAAAUCUAGGCCAAAAAGGCUAGAAACAAGUUGAAGAUCCUAGCAAUGGUGCAAAAAAAGUGCCCUCAUAUGGUCCAUCUUUUUGUAUUUAGUAUGAUCUGAUACAAAUUGAGAGGAGACCAUAUCAUAAUUGUAUAGGUGAGUUGUACCAUGAUGUCUCCUCAUUUGUAGACAUUCCACAUAAACGCAAAGCUCUAACCUAUAUAACUGGCUAUUUAACAAUUAACAUCGUCUGAGGGACAGGAUAACCUGGUAGGAGUAGCAUUGGGUCGACUGACUCUGGCACUCUUACAUACUCUUCCGGAGUACAGAGUAGAGACCCUCUGCUUGUGCAUAAUACUGCAACUUGUUACCAGAUCUAUGCAAGAAUGGUGCAAAAUAUUAAGGAUCUCACAAUCGUGAGCAGAAAGAGAAAAAGGAAAGCAUUAAAAACAAACUUGAUGCUUCCCCAUGGGCCUGAGCAUCAUCGCAAAAUAUCUGUGGACCUUUUCAGGUGCACAUGGAGAGACAAGGAUAAUCGGUUAACCAAGCUAAAGUUACCAAUAAUGCUCCUAAGAACACAUAUCAUGUACAGCCAUCAUAUAGGAUCACACGCAACCAGGGGCAACCAAGCAUCACAGUAAGGUGAGCAGCAUCGAAGAUAAGAGUGCAUUUUAUCCACUUCUAAAUUAUACUGGAGAAGUUGUAUCGAAUAGGAAUGCUUCAUCUAGAAUACAAAACACUAUGAGGUCGAACUACAUGCUUAACUUUGUUUUGUAAAUUAUAGCACCAUGAGUACUUGCAGGGGAUCAAAACUAACUAGGUCCCAAGUUCGAUUUAGCCAAUAUAACUUUUGGCCAUAAUCAAAUACCAAAUGCAAUGCUACAUGCAUGCCAACUAGAAGCAUCCAAGAAAGGUUACUGUUGAUGUUGAAUUGAUGGAUAGUCCCCUUGUCUAUUUCUCUCAAUUGGAGACCAAAUUCCGCCCUACGGAAGCAAGAAAUCCGUACCAUACGUUAGCCUAUUCCAAAAGGUGACAUAGACGGAAUAAGCGCGUACACAACAAUUUGCAGGCAUGGUGGCUGUUUGUGAUAUUCUCUAGUCAACUCAGGAUAAAGGGUGUGCUUUCACAGCUUGCGGAUGCUCGCCGCAUAUGGUGCACUGCCUAUUGUGGUUUCUUGCUCCUCAUCCAUUAACUAUGUACGGAAAAGGGGAAACAUUGCACAGAUUCUUUGCUAAAGUCGCAAUGCUAAAAAAAAAAAAGUUAAGCUGUACGAUCUCUUGUAACCUUGUCCUUGCCGUAUAACCUCCUUACAUUCCCUGGUCCUCGUCCCUGUGAGAGAUCAUCUCGCCUUCUCACUUGGCGAAAGAAAACUGACACAGAUGUCCUCUUGGAAGCGGCCAACCAGCAUCCACCAUGAACACAACAAGGACAUGUGCAAGAAAUGAACCUAUACUCGACAGCUGUAAACCUUACAUGGUUUUGGGGUUCUGUCAUUCCAUCGAACACUUGGUGGGCACGGCAUUAAAGAAGAAGAAAGCAAUCUUCAUCCCAAAAGCAAAAAGGAGUAAAUCUUUGUGUAUAUUUGUUCUCUGGAAUAAAUCGCUCAAGUCAACAUCAUCCUAAAGCCAAGCAUUUACAAAAUAUCUACGUCUAAUCUCCAUGCCUCCAAAAGUUGUUCAACAAAAACAGCGCCGCUAAAUCAACUUAGAGAAACAGCGCCGCCUGGUGUCUACAAAUCAACCAGAGUUGUAAAGCUAUGAGAAAAAUAUAAAAUACUAACGAGAUUAGAUUGAUCGUGGAUGCCACAUUGCCACCAUGAGGAAACAAGGGAGGGAGGCAAAUAGAGGAUGGCACUUUCAUGAUGGAGGUGUGGGCAUGCUUGGGGGGAUGCACUGUGCUUUUGGAGAAAUAUACAUGCUCACCUUUUUGUGUUCCUUCUUUCCGUCAAGAACAACAGUAGAGGCCUGGACUAUCUCAUGCUUGCUUGCUCAGUGUGUGUGGCUGCCCCCUAUCUGACCUAGCCCAACCUAGCCUAGUAGCAUUUCUUUGGAGGAGGAUGGUGGAUUGGUGGAUGGUGGGGGACAUCAAGGAAGGAACUACACAUCUUCCUAUCCACUGCUAUGUAGGAGAGCACCUACAGCUGCAACUUGGAUUUUUGUGUGUGCACCAAUGGCUGGAUCUUUCUUCAACAGCCCAACACACUUUUGUAACAAAAGGUAGGAGCUAGACUCUCUGCUUUGGGUGGAUGGUGCUCACAACCUUGUGGUGCACAGUGUACUCAAUGUCUCCCAACAGUCAGCUUGCUUUGCUGCUGAUACUUGGCAAAACACAGCAAACCAUCUAGAAACAAAAUUAUGUGAAUUUUAUCUACCGGGGGCUCAUGAUGUUCUAACAGGGUUUCUUCUGACUUCUAAACGCAGUAUGUAUUUUCCUAUGAGCCUUCUGUUUUUCAAAUAGCUCAUCAGGCUACAUCAAGAAUCAACAAUAGUACGUUGCUUUUGCACAUUUGCUUAAGAUUCUAUAAAUAGGUAACAUUGAUAUGAUUUUGCCAAACAAAUAUGUGGAUUUAUUCAUGCUUGGAAUAAGCCACUGGUUGCUGGCUAAUGAUGAUUAUAGUUAGAUGCGCAACAAUCUUGCCCAUUUUUAUGGAUCUCCCCCGUGUUUUUUCAUCAUGGUUUAGUUUGUAAAGAGACUUCUAGAGCCGAUGGCAAUUAGAGAAACAUAUAACAGCAAACAGCCCCUUCACCAAAUUAUUGGAGAAAGCAAGCACAAUAAUCCAAGAGAGCCAUAAGAGCAGCGACUAAAAUGCAUUUAAGAAUUCAGGCACAUUGCCAGGAAGCAUAUUACACCAAGUCUAGUGUUUCCUCUUAGAAACAUAGACCAUUCAUGGACAAAGAUAUAAUGAUUCUUCAAGUAAUGUUUCCAUAAGCACUGCGUGCAGUCCACGGUUUUAUCAUAGACCAUUCAUAGGCAAAGCAUAAACACCCAUAACAGAUUCCUCAAAAAAGGUUUAAAGCGGUUUCAUAAAUAUCCAUCCUAGCAAAAUCUGCCACGCGGAACUCAUCUAC
rnacentral:lncRNA from 1 species